UUGGGUACUCGAGUGGCGAACGGGUGAGUAACACGUGGGUGAUCUGCCCUGCACUUCGGGAUAAGCCUGGGAAACUGGGUCUAAUACCGGAUAGGACCACAUUUUGGAUGGUGUGGUGGAAAGUUUUUCGGUGUGGGAUGAGCUCGCGGCCUAUCAGCUUGUUGGUGGGGUAAUGGCCUACCAAGGCGUCGACGGGUAGCCGGCCUGAGAGGGUGUACGGCCACAUUGGGACUGAGAUACGGCCCAG
rnacentral:rRNA from 1 species